UUGGACAUACUUUCAGGAUCAUUUCUGUAUUAAAGUCCACUCGUCUAGUUCUCUAAACAUGACAACUGCUAUAGAAGGGAUGAUGAACCGAUGUCUUUCGUUCCUGAGCGUGAAGUUAUAAUAGCGUUGCGGACCUCAAUGAAGUCGGUGUUUGCUUUCAUUAGAUUGCAAAUCAUGUUACAUGAGAGCGGGGUCCCCCCGCUUUAC